AUGGAUUUUCAUGUGCAGAUUUUGAGCUUCAUGCUAAUCAGUGUCACAGUGUCCAGUGGAGAAAUUGUGCUCACCCAGUCUCCAGCACUCAUGGCUGCAUCUCCGGGGGAGAAGGUCACCAUGACCUGCACUGCCAGCUCAAGUGUAAGUACAAGUUACUUGCACUGGUACCAGCAGAAGUCAGGUGCCUCCCCCAAACUCUGGAUUUAUAGCACAUCCAACCUGGCUUCUGGAGUCCCAGCUCGCUUCAGUGGCAGUGGGUCUGGGACCUCUUACUCUCUCACAAUCAGCAGCGUGGAGGCUGAAGACUUUGCCACUUAUUACUGCCAGCAGUGGAGUAGUAACCAACCCACAAAAUCUUCCAGUGGCGAAUCCUGGUGGAUUCCACCACUGAUAACAGCCCCAGGUGUACAUCCUGCUGCCUUGCUGUCAUUGACCAAAAGGAAUUACCCUUCUCCUCUCUUCCCUGUUCAUCUCUCUGACCUGGAAGGCCUGCCUCUUUGCCCAGGGUUCUUGGAGCUCUAA